UCUGACUUUCAUCUUGCAGGAGGAUGGAAUAGGCAUGAUCCAUAUUUGGAAGUGGGCUCAUCAUGAGGAUGUUGCCUCUUGCAUGUGCAUACACAUCAUUCAAUCCCAUUAGAAAUUGGAUGACUCUCUGAUCCUCUAGGAACUUGGCUACCUUCUUCUUCCCUUCACACACACAGGUACAAGUGCAUCCUAGAUGUGAGUUCAGGGAAUCUAACUCAUCCCAUAACUUUUUCAGAGUUGUGAAGUAUCCUGCAAUACUGUUGUUUCCCUGAACUGUCUUAGUAACUUCCUUUUGUAGGUGGUAGAGCUUGGCUCCAUUGGAUUGUCCAAAUCUAUGUUCAAGACUAUUCCAAAGUUCUUUUGCAGAUUUGGAAUAGAUUACACUGUCUCCUAUCUCUUUGGUUAGAGAAUUUAAGAACCAUGAGGUUACCAUGUCAUUGCACCUACUCCAUUGUGCAUGAUCCUUUGAAUCCAAGGCAGGCUCAUCACAAAUCCCAUUGAUGAAUCCCAGCUUGUUCUUGGCUGACAAUGCAAUCAGCAUUGACCUUCUCCAUCCUGGGAAUCCUCUUCCAUCAAAAGGUGAGGUCACAAGAGUCAUC
rnacentral:lncRNA from 1 species